GGUUCGUUGGUGUAAUGGAUAACAUUCCCGGCCUUGAAUGAUUCUAGGUCUGCGUACGCGUCUCAGAGGAGGACAUCGGUUCGAAUCCGAUACGGGCCA